rnacentral:rRNA from 1 species
UACGUAGGGGGCAAGCGUUGUCCGGAUUUAUUGGGCGUAAAGAGCUUGUAGGUGGCUCGUCGCGUCGGGAGUGAAAACCCGCGGCUUAACCGCGGGCCUGCUUUCGAUACGGGCGGGCUAGAGUUCGGCAGGGGAGACUGGAAUUCCUGGUGUAGCGGUGGAAUGCGCAGAUAUCAGGAGGAACACCGGUGGCGAAGGCGGGUCUCUGGGCCGAUACUGACGCUGAGAAGCGAAAGCGUGGGGAGCGAACAGG